rnacentral:rRNA from 1 species
CCUACGGGAGUCUGCAGUGAGGAAUAUUGGUCAAUGGGCGCGAGCCUGAACCAGCCAAGUCGCGUGAGGGAUGACGGUCCUAUGGAUUGUAAACCUCUUUUGUCGGGGAGCAAAAGACGCCACGCGUGGCGUUCCGCGAGUACCCGAAGAAAAAGCAUCGGCUAACUCCGUGCCAGCAGCCGCGGUAAUACGGAGGAUGCGAGCGUUAUCCGGAUUUAUUGGGUUUAAAGGGUGCGGAGGCGGAAUGUCAAGUCAGCGGUAAAAUUUCGGGGCUCAACCUCUUCGAGCCGUUGAAACUGGCUUUCUUGAGUGAGCGAGAAGUAUGCGGAAUGCGUGGUGUAGCGGUGAAAUGCAUAGAUAUGACGCAGAACGCCGAUUGCGAAGGCAGCAUACCGGAGCGCAACUGACGCUCAUGCACGAAAGUGUGGGUAUCGAACAGGAUUAGAUACCCGAGUAGUC